GUGCCAGCAGCCGCGGUAAGACGAGCCACACGAACGUUAUUCGGAAUUACUGGGCUUAAAGGGUGCGUAGGCUGCGCGGAAAGUUGGGUGUGAAAUCCCUCGGCUCAACCGAGGAACUGCGCCCAAAACUGCCGUGCUCGAGGAAGAUAGAGGUAAGCGGAACUUACGGUGGAGCGGUGAAAUGCGUUGAUAUCGUAAGGAACACCUGUGGCGAAAGCGGCUUACUGGGUCUUUUCUGACGCUGAUGCACGAAAGCUAGGGGAGCAAACGGGAUUAGAAACCCCCGUAGUCC
rnacentral:rRNA from 1 species